rnacentral:rRNA from 1 species
GAAUUUUUCGCAAUGGGCGCAAGCCUGACGAAGCAACGCCGCGUGGAGGAUGAAGGCCUUCGGGUCGUAAACUCCUGUCGACCGGGACGAAUGCAGUCUGGGUAAAUAGCCCGGGCUGUUGACUGUACCGGUGGAGGAAGCCACGGCUAACUCUGUGCCAGCCGCCGCGGUAAUACAGAGGUGGCAAGCGUUGUUCGGAAUUACUGGGCGUAAAGGGCGCGUAGGCGGUUCGAUAAGUCCCGUGUGAAAGCCCCCGGCUCAACUGGGGAACUGCACGGGAAACUGACGGACUUGAGUUCGGGAGAGGGAAGCGGAACUCCGGGUGUAGCGGUGAAAUGCGUAGAUAUCCGGAGGAACACCGGUGGCGAAGGCGGCUUCCUGGACCGACACUGACGCUGAGGCGCGAAAGCUAGGGGAGCAAACGGG